AUAUUGCACAAUGGGGGAAACCCUGAUGCAGCAACGCCGCGUGAACGAUGAAGGUCUUCGGGCUGUAAAGUUCUUUGAUUGGGGAAGAAAAAGACGGUACCCAAAAAACAAGCCACGGCUAACUACGUGCCAGCAGCCGCGGUAAUACGUAGGUGGCGAGCGUUGUCCGGAUUUACUGGGCGUAAAGGAUGCGUAGGUGGAUACUUAAGUGGGAUGUGAAAUCCCCGGGCUUAACCCGGGAACUGCAUUCCAAACUGGGUAACUUGAGUGCAGGAGAGGAAAGCGGAAUUCCUAGUGUAGCGGUGAAAUGCGUAGAUAUUAGGAAGAACACCAGUGGCGAAGGCGGCUUUCUGGACUGUAACUGACACUGAGGCAUGAAAGCGUGGGGAGCAAACAG
rnacentral:rRNA from 1 species